rfam:Triticum aestivum genome assembly, contig: Triticum_aestivum_CS42_TGACv1_scaffold_423738_5BS
CAACUACUCCCUCUGUCCCAAAUUUCUUGUCCUAGAUUUGUCUAGAUACGGAUGUAUCUAAUACUUGAUACAUCCAUAUCUAGACAAAUCUAAGACAAGAAUUUUGGGACGGAGGGAGUACUUU